rnacentral:misc_RNA from 1 species
GAUGAAGAACGUAGCGAAAUGCGAUAAGUAAUGUGAAUUGCAGAAUUCAGUGAAUCAUCGAAUCUUUGAACGCACAUUGCGCCCGCCAGUAUUCUGGCGGGCAUGCCUGUUCGAGCGUCAUUUCAACCAUCAAGCCCCCGGGCUUGUGUUGGGGACCUGCGGCUGCCGCAGGCCCUGAAAAGCAGUGGCGGGCUCGCUGUCACACCGAGCGUAGUAGAUUUUAUCUCGCUCUGGGCGUGCUGCGGGUUCCGGCCGUUAAACCACCCUUUUAACCCAAGGUUGACCUCGGAUCAGGUGGGAAGACCCGCUGAACUUAAGCAUAUCAAUAAGCGGAGGA